UGAGGAUCACGCCAAAGUGCAAAUUUGGAGGGACACCCCCAGUGGGUGUCGGGGCUUCU
rnacentral:tRNA from 1 species